GACGAACGCUGGCGGCGUGCUUAACACAUGCAAGUCGAACGGAAAGGCCCUGCUUUUGUGGGGUGCUCGAGUGGCGAACGGGUGAGUAACACGUGAGUAACCUGCCCUUGACUUUGGGAUAACUUCAGGAAACUGGGGCUAAUACCGGAUAGGAGCUCCUGCUGCAUGGUGGGGGUUGGAAAGUUUCGGCGGUUGGGGAUGGACUCGCGGCUUAUCAGCUUGUUGGUGGGGUAGUGGCUUACCAAGGCUUUGACGGGUAGCCGGCCUGAGAGGGUGACCGGCUACAUUGGGACUGAGAUACGGCCCAGACUCCUACGGGAGGCAGCAGUGGGGAAUAUUGCACAAUGGGCGGAAGCCUGAUGCAGCAACGCCGCGUGCGGGAUGACGGCCCUCGGGUUGUAAACCGCUUUCGCCUGUGACGAAGCGUGAGUGACGGUAAUGGGUAAAGAAGCACCGGCUAACUACGUG
rnacentral:rRNA from 1 species